GACGAGGUGGCCGAGUGGUUAAGGCGUUGGACUGCUAAUCCAAUGUGCUCUGCACGCGGUUGGGUUCGAACUCCAUCCUCGUCG
rnacentral:tRNA from 1 species